rnacentral:rRNA from 1 species
AUUGCACGCUGGCGGCAGGCCUAACACAUGCAAGUCGAACGAGUGGCGGACGGGUGAGUAAUGUCUGGGAAACUGACCGAUGGAGGUGGAUAACUACUGGAAACGGUAGCUAAUACCGCAUACCAUCGGAUGUGCCCAGAUGGGGUUAGCUCGUAGGUGGGGUAACGGCUCACCUAGGCGACGAUCCCUAGCUGGGAUGAGAGGAUGACCCGCAACACUGGAACGGAGACACGGGCCAGACUCCGACGGGAGGCAGAAGUGGGGAAUAUGGCACAAUGGGCGCAAGCCUGAUGCAGGCAUGCCGCGGGGAUGAAGAAGGCCUUCGGGUUGUAAAGUACUUGCAGCGUGGAGGCGUUACUCGCAGAAGAAGCACCGGCUAACUCCGGGCCAGCAGCCGCGGUAAUAC